UUUUAUUUUUUUUUUUUUUUUUUACUCUUGAAUUCUCAAUAUCCAAACAUUGAAGGAAUUCAAAAGUCCAUUAUUUUCCCACCAAUCAAACACAGAUGCCAAUUCAGUUGGAAACAAAAGAAUUAUAUAAAGAAAGCUAACAAGAAUCAUAAUUGAUUAAUAAGAACAGACAAAUAGAUGCAUACUAUUGACAAAUGUUGAAGCAUAAUGAUCACAAGUAUAUCCAACAGAGUUCACGGAAAUCACUUUGAUAACACACAGAGGACACAUAAACGAAACGCAACACAAUCAAAAUCUCAGUAUCAAACAACUACAGAGAUUCUAUCUCCGUAAUUGCACAGAAACAGAGCCCUAUCAAAAAGAAAAAGAUGACAGAGAGAGAGAGAGAGAGAGA
rnacentral:misc_RNA from 1 species